rnacentral:lncRNA from 1 species
GUCCACUCCCUGUCCUGCUGUCAUGGGCAGUGACGACAGUCAGGGCAGGGUUACAUGCUGGGUAGGUGGGUGUGCAGCCAUGGCUGAGGCCAGCCAGGGCUUCAGGGUAGAGAGUUGGGAUCCGUAGGCAGCCAGGCUCCCUGGGAGGCCAGGGUCUCCAUGCCAACGCUAAAGGCCAAGGGGAAGGAGACCCCACAGGUUCUAAGGACUGAGCCGAAACAAACAAUCUGUUCAAUGCAGAGAUCCCUAGAGGAGCGUUUUGGGGCCAGGGCUUGGAGUGCCUGGAGUCAGAGUACAGAAAGGGUGGGGGCUGCUGUCUCCUGGGAUGUGAGCAAUGUCCCUGCCCCAUCUGGCAUCCCACAGGUCCCCUGGGCACAUCUCCAGGCCUCCUGGAGGAGGAGGACUGUGUCCACCCCAAGGGGAAGGCUCUGGCUGGAGAGAGAUGUGGGGUUGGCUGCCCUGAGUUCCCCAGGGGCAAUGAAGAUGCAACAGGGGGCAACCCUAGGCCCUGGCUACCCACCGCCUGUUCUCAGCCCCACCACCCCCUGAAUCCACAAUUCAGCAGCAUCCCGUUCCACUGGGCUGCUGGCAACUGCUAGAAAGCUCCACAGAGAGCAAGCCAAUUCCACCAUGUUCUCCUAGUCCUGCUUUAUGCAAAGUUACCCCCCUACCUGCCCAACCCACCCUCAGCUUAUCAGGUGGAAAGCAUGCUCCAACCUCCCUGGAGCUAAAGCCCAGCUGACUGGAAGUGGCUUUGGCAUUUCCCCCCCAGGGGAAAUCCAAAUUUCAACAGCCGGCCUGUGGAUCCCAGCGUUGCACAGCCCACCAGGGCUAAAGUGGUCCAGUGGCUCUGCCCUGUGGUCAAGAGCCUCUUGCACUCAAGGCCAGUCCUGAAAUAAAUUCAUGGACGUGGGAGCCGGAGGCAGGCCCAGCAAACCUGUCACAGGCAGGCCCUCCCCCUCCCCCUCCCCCAUCUGGACCCCUGGUGAGCAAGGGCCGAUGGGUUGGCCUGGAGAACCGCCCAGCCCUGUCCUCAGGAACUCAGAGCGCUGAG